CCUGGCCUUAUCUUAUAGUUAGGAUAGCCUUAUGCCUAUCCCUUUGCCCCUCUAAUUUAAGACUAUGUCCUCUUGUUGUGUUAGUUUUUCUUCUUUUAAAUAUGGUCUCCUCCUUUACUGUGUUUAACUCUUGAUUUUCCUGGCAGAGACGGACUCCCAUGUAACACUACAUAUUGGAAGAGUUAAUAAUCUGAUCCAGAGCAUCAAUGUAGGAUAAAACCAGAAUACAGCGUGUUGAUACGGCCGUUACAAAUGAAUUACUUUAAUAAACAUUAAUGGGUGGGGUGGGGUUCCAGUGAUAACCUGUGACUGUUCGGACAUCGAUAGGUCCAGGAUUUUAUCGUAACCACCAUAGGUAAUGCAACGUUGCUGACUGCAGGGCGUUUA